rnacentral:rRNA from 1 species
UGGGGAAUAUUGCACAAUGGGCGAAAGCCUGAUGCAGCGACGCCGCGUGAGGGAUGACGGCCUUCGGGUUGUAAACCUCUUCAGCAGGGAAGAAGCGAAAGUGACGGUACCUGCAGAAGAAGCGCCGGCUAACUACGUGCCAGCAGCCGCGGUAAUACGUAGGGCGCAAGCGUUGUCCGGAAUUAUUGGGCGUAAAGAGCUCGUAGGCGGUUAGUCGCGUCUGCUGUGAAAACUCGAGGCUCAACCUCGGGCUUGCAGUGGGUACGGGCUGACUAGAGUGCGGUAGGGGUGACUGGAAUUCCUGGUGUAGCGGUGGAAUGCGCAGAUAUCAGGAGGAACACCGAUGGCGAAGGCAGGUCACUGGGCCGCAACUGACGCUGAGGAGCGAAAGCAUGGGGAGCGAACAGGAUUAGAUACCCUGGUAGUCCAUGCCGUAAACGUUGGGCACUAGGUGUGGGGUCCA